AUUUUUUGGAAGGGAACAGACGAGGAGCGAGAAAAAUCAAGAGAGCACGGCAUUUUUCGUAUUUUCAUAACGGAGCUGCUUUAAAAUCCAGUAGAAACGUUUUUCUGUCUUGUGACAAAACUUGUUUCAAAGAGAUUUGGAGUAUCGGCACUACAAACGGAAUAUGCACAACUCGACCUACCAGCCCCCCCAAAACAAGGAAAUUUGGACCUAUGUGAAGGACUUUUGAAAGCGUGCGUAAAUGCAAUGUUUGAAGAGGCUUUUUUGGGAUGUUGUUAAGAAGGUUUCUCCAUGCUCUUCCUUUCUCUGGCCUCUGGGUCUCUGACCAUCCUCUCCAUGCUAUUGCUGAUAAAGCAAUGGAAAUUACCAUCUCUCCAUCUCUCACUCCAGGACAUAGAUGCAGCCGGGCCUUGCAAUUUUGCAGAUUACGCUCUAUCCAUAUGCAAGAUAAAUGAAAUCCAGUACAGCGGUAUUCAGCUGGUGGAGCUGUCCAGCAACCGGCACCCAGCCCGGAGAAAUCCCUGCCCCAGUAGAGGAGAAGAAGAGACUGAGGACGGAUCGAUGAAUGAAGGAAAGAGAGAGAGAGAGAGCUUCCAGACUGCGUGACCUACAUUCAACACUGUCUGGAGUCAAAAACAGAGUGAGAGGGAGAGGGAGAGAGAGAGAGAGAGAGAGAGCAAGAGAGCCAGCCCAAACAGAAAGCGGGAGGAUGAGACAGCAGGAAAGAAAGAGUAAGUCAGCAGAAUUGAGAGAUUCAAAGAGGAACUGAGAGGAGUAGAGGCAGAAAGAGGAAGCUGAUCCUUGGCCAAGAUCAUCCAUUUCUCACUCUGUUCGUCCUGCUCUUUUGCGCCGCUCCUUUUUCCAUAAUCCAGUCUCAUUCUACCUGAUAAUGUGCUGCUUUCUCCUCCCCAUCUAUCACCAUUAAUCAUCCAUUGUCUGAGGUGUCUCGGGGAAUGCAGCUGCCUGCAGUGCAACGCCAGUCUGGGGAGCACAAACGGGCAGAGAAAUAAUCAUCACUUUUCACACUUUUGUUGUUUUUUUUCCCCGGGCUCUUCAUGCUCCUCUACAAGCUCUGUUCCCUUUGUCUCUUCAUCUCUCCUCCGCUUGUCCCCGACACCCCCACCACCCCCCUCCUUCCUUCUGUGCACCCCAUUCUUUAACCCUCUUUCCUUCAAGCCAAAGCACCGCACAACCCCUCAACAUCCACAUUUAUCUCCUUCCUCCUUCUCCUCCUCUGUCAGCAUAUAUCUAUCUGUGCUCCAACAGUAUUUGUAUGGUGGAUCGCUUUGUCCGGCUGAUGCUGUUAUCAAGAACAGCAGCAGCGGCUCUGACUGUGCGUGAGCCUGUCUGAUGAGCUUGGCUUCGAAUCUAUCUGAUUGCCUCCGGAUGGAAAGCUGCCUCUCUGAAAGCAGUGUGGUUCUGAAUGCAGCUUUUAGAGACCAACUCUCUGAAACUUCAUUAGUAUCUCCAGAACACAACUUGCUGGGCUGCUCUGGAUCCCAGACUCGCUACCGGCCCUGUUUCGACAACGAAUCCAUGUACAAUCCAACAGGGAAGAGAGUCGGUCUAUCGAUCCAAAGAAUGGGAGGCAUCAAAAGAUCCUUAGGAGCAGGAGCUGAAAGGAGCAGCGAUGGCGAAGAGUAUAUCAGGAAGCAACCAAUUCGGAAGGAGACUACCAGACAUGAGAGGAAUACUUUUUCCAAUUGGACCAUGUGUAGAUCGGUCACCUCCACUGUUUACCGUGGGAAUAAAUAUCAGUACAAAUAGGGGAAGAACUCUGGUAUUCCAAUUGCAUGGCAUCACUUUGAUCCUCAUUUGAUCAGAUUAAAUGUCAAUGUAAACCCCAAACAAAUGUUUGUCUUUGUUAUUGUUGUCUAUAGUAGUUAUUUGCAAAAAAACAAACAAUUCAAAUUAAUAUUUAAUAGGAUCAUUAUGAUUACAUUAAAAUAAUCUUGGCACGUGCUUUUAAAUCUAUACUAAGAGCGGUUUAGAAA
ensembl:lncRNA